GAAUGGCUCACAGUCAUAAUAAGUUGCUGAGGCCAUCUAGUGGUGGCACAUUUGAUUAAGAGCGGAAUUGCCAAUUCAGCCUACCAGGUUUUUGAAGAACAAGUGGAUGGAGUUCCUCUUCUCCAGCCUCUUAGGGAGGACGGGGGAAUUGUCUCCACCCUCGGAGGGUCCUGAUGCUGGCUUGCUGUCCACAGCAGGGAUCUCUGGGGCCUUUGGUUCUUCCUUGGCCACACUUGGGCCAGCUACGGCUUCUGCAGCUGGGGCUGGGGCUUCCUUUUUGGGCUCAGAAGCCUGAUUGAAUUACGACAAAUAAUGAAAAGAUACAUUUCUGAGUGUCAUUUUUAUCAUGUAAUGUUAAUCGUAAAGCCAUUACUCGGUCCAAAGCUGUAUUAUGACGUUGCCUCCUUUCUCUCACCAGGUAAAGCUGAGCCCACACAUUAAUACAUUAACUAGCACAAUACAAGAGCACAAUUGACGCAAUGAAAUAAUGACUAGAUUAAUGAGAGCAUUGUUCUGUUUGGUAAAGAUAUAAUUUAUAGAAAUUAGAAAUGGAAAACUAUCACUAGUCUAACCAACUGUUUUUGGAUAAUGUGUAUGCAACAGAUAUCAAUUGAUCUACCAAAUAAUGUACACUAUUUGUGCAAGAUAUUUCAAUAUGGUAGUACCAGCAUAAGCUGAACUCAGUGAGAUCACUCUUGUUAAUUUCACACUGGCCGUCAGGAAUGCUCAUUUACCCCUUUGAAAGGUUUCUUGAGGAGUCGGACUCCACUUGUUGAAGCCGUCUGGACUUUUGAAGCCAUUUGGUUUAGCAGGUCCUCAAAUUCACAUCAUUCCGUUAUUGUUUAUCACAUUUGCACAUUUUCCUGUCUUUCCAAAAUAACUAGCAUGUGUAGUUCCCGUUGAGAACCAAAGUGGGAUGUAAGUAGAAUAUCUGCCUUACCUUGGGCUUGAAAAGAGAAAAGGAGGUUUUGGCUACAGCCGGUUUCUUCCCCUCUUUCGGUGCAGUUGUUGCUGUUGGUUGGGCCUCUUUCUGUGACUGUUUUGUGACAACAACA
rnacentral:lncRNA from 1 species